rnacentral:rRNA from 1 species
UACGUAGGUGGCAAGCGUUGUCCGGAAUUAUUGGGCGUAAAGCGCGCGCAGGCGGUUCUUUAAGUCUGAUGUGAAAGCCCACGGCUCAACCGUGGAGGGUCAUUGGAAACUGGAGGACUUGAGUACAGAAGAGGAAAGCGGAAUUCCACGUGUAGCGGUGAAAUGCGUAGAGAUGUGGAGGAACACCAGUGGCGAAGGCGGCUUUCUGGUCUGUAACUGACGCUGAGGCGCGAAAGCGUGGGGAGCAAACAGG